CAAAAGUCCCUGUACUAUAGUACAAAGAGGUUUCUCCACAUUACAUUAAUACAUGUUCUUAUUUUAUAGGAAGGAUUUCUUUACAUUACUGGCAGAGCUAAAGAGUUGCUGGUAUUAGCAACUGGUGAGAAUAUUGCUCCAGUUCCGAUUGAGUCAGCGUUGAAGGAGCAGCUGCCAAUAGUCAGUAAUGCAGUGAUAGUGGGAGACCAGAAGAGCUACAUAUCCUGUCUCAUCACAUUAAAAGUUGAGUUUGAUGAUGUGACUGGUUAUGCUACUGAUCGGCUCAACCCCACUGCCCUGGCUAUAUGCCAGUCUUGUGGCAGUCAGUCAAAGACUGUGAGGGAUAUCCUGGAUGAACCCAGCGACCACAGGGUACUCAAGAUGAUUCAAAACGGGAUUGAUAGAGUUAAUAGAGGAGCUGCCUGUAAGAAGCACAAGAUUGUCAAGUGGUCAAUUUUGGAUCGUGACUUCUCAAUUCAGUCAGGAGAACUAACUCACACUAUGAAGCUAAAGAGAAGGUUCAUCACCAUUAAGUACAGUGACAUUAUUGAGUCCUUCUAUUAGUUCAAGUGUAUACUGUGUAGUUGGGAUUACUGUUGUAUAUAAUAGUUUAUAUGAAUAAUAUAUAGUUUAUUAUGAUUGGAUCUAUAUUGAUUAUUAUUAGUA